rnacentral:tRNA from 1 species
AAGAUGCUAGUAAAAUUAUUACCCUGCCUUGUCAAGGCAAAAUAGUGGGUUGAACCCCCGCGCAUCUUG